rnacentral:rRNA from 1 species
GACAGAGGCCUCAAGCGUUAGGCGGAAUUACUGGGCGUAAAGGGCGCGUAGGCGGAUAGUUUAGUCAGAGGUAAAAGCCCAGGGCUCAACCUUGGAACUGCCUUUGAUACUGGCUAUCUUGAGUUCGGGAGAGGUGAGUGGAAUGCCGAGUGUAGAGGUGAAAUUCGUAGAUAUUCGGCGGAACACCAGUGGCGAAGGCGACUCACUGGCCCGAUACUGACGCUGAGGCGCGAAAGCGUGGGGAGCAAACAGG